rnacentral:rRNA from 1 species
AGUGAACGCUGGCGGUAGGCCUAACACAUGCAAGUCGAACGGCAGCACAGUAAGAGCUUGCUCUUACGGGUGGCGAGUGUCGGACGGGUGAGGAAUACAUCGGAAUCUACUUUUUCGUGGGGGAUAACGUAGGGUAACUUACGCUAAUACCGCAUACGACCUACGGGUGAAAGCAGGGGAUCUUCGGACCUUGCGCGAUUGAAUGAGCCGAUGUCGGAUUAGCUAGUUGGCGGGGUAAAGGCCCACCAAGGCGACGAUCCGUAGCUGGUCUGAGAGGAUGAUCAGCCACACUGGAACUGAGACACGGUCCAGACUCCUACGGGAGGCAGCAGUGGGGAAUAUUGGACAAUGGGCGCAAGCCUGAUCCAGCCAUACCGCGUGGGUGAAGAAGGCCUUCGGGUUGUAAAGCCCUUUUGUUGGGAAAGAAAAGCAGCAGGUUAAUACCCCGCUGUUCUGACGGUACCCAAAGAAUAAGCACCGGCUAACUUCGUG